rnacentral:rRNA from 1 species
CCUACGGGCGGCAGCAGUGGGGAAUAUUGGACAAUGGGGGGAACCCUGAUCCAGCCAUGCCGCGUGUGUGAAGAAGGCCCUCGGGUUGUAAAGCACUUUCAGUGAGGAAGAACGCCUGGUGGUUAAUACCCAUCAGGAAAGACAUCACUCACAGAAGAAGCACCGGCUAACUCCGUGCCAGCAGCCGCGGUAAUACGGAGGGUGCGAGCGUUAAUCGGAAUUACUGGGCGUAAAGCGCGCGUAGGUGGCUUGAUAAGCCGGUUGUGAAAGCCCCGGGCUCAACCUGGGAACGGCAUCCGGAACUGUCAAGCUAGAGUGCAGGAGAGGAAGGUAGAAUUCCCGGUGUAGCGGUGACAUGCGUAGAGAUCGGGAGGAAUACCAGUGGCGAAGGCGGCCUUCUGGACUGACACUGACACUGAGGUGCGAAAGCGUGGGUAGCAAACAGGAUUAGAUACCCUUGUAGUC